rnacentral:tRNA from 1 species
CAGACCAUAGCUUAACACAGAUAAAGUAACUCCUUUACACUGAGUUGAUACCCGUGCAAACCGGGUUGUUCUGA